CCUACGGGAGGCAGCAGUGGGGAAUAUUGCACAAUGGGCGAAAGCCUGAUGCANCCAUGCCGCGUGUGUGAAGAAGGCCUUCGGGUUGUAAAGCACUUUCAGCGAGGAGGAAAGGUUAGUGGUUAAUAGCCACUAGCUGUGACGUUACUCGCAGAAGAAGCACCGGCUAANUUCGUGCCAGCAGCCGCGGUAAUACGAGGGGUGCAAGCGUUAAUCGGAAUUACUGGGCGUAAAGCGUGCGUAGGUGGUUUGUUAAGCAAGAUGUGAAAGCCCUGGGCUCAACCUGGGAACUGCAUUUUGAACUGGCAAGCUAGAGUUUUGUAGAGGGUAGUGGAAUUUCCAGUGUAGCGGUGAAAUGCGUAGAGAUUGGAAGGAACAUCAGUGGCGAAGGCGGCUACCUGGACAAAGACUGACACUGAGGCACGAAAGCGUGGGGAGCAAACAGGAUUAGAUACCCUGGUAGUCCACNCCGUAAACGAUGUCAACUAGCCGUCUGUAGACUUGAUCUGUGGGUGGCGUAGCUAACGCGNUAAGUUGCCCNCCUGGGGAGUACGCGCCGCAAGGUUAAAACUCAAAGGAAUUGACGGGG
rnacentral:rRNA from 1 species